AGCGAAUGGAUUAAGAGCUUGCUCUUAUGAAGUUAGCGGCGGACGGGUGAGUAACACGUGGGUAACCUGCCCAUAAGACUGGGAUAACUCCGGGAAACCGGGGCUAAUACCGGAUAACAUUUUGAACCGCAGGUUCGAAAUUGAAAGGCGGCUUCGGCUGUCACUUAUGGAUGGACCCGCGUCGCAUAGCUAGUUGGUGAGGUAACGGCUCACCAAGGCAACGAUGCGUAGCCGACCUGAGAGGGUGAUCGGCCACACUGGGACUGAGACACGGCCCAGACUCCUACGGGAGGCAGCAGUAGGGAAUCUUCCGCAAUGGACGAAAGUCUGACGGAGCAACGCCGCGUGAGUGAUGAAGGCUUUCGGGUCGUAAAACUCUGUUGUUAGGGAAGAACAAGUGCUAGUUGAAUAAGCUGGCACCUUGACGGUACCUAACCAGAAAGCCACGGCUAACUACGUGCCAGCAGCCGCGGUAAUACGUAGGUGGCAAGCGUUAUCCGGAAUUAUUGGGCGUAAAGCGCGCGCAGGUGGUUUCUUAAGUCUGAUGUGAAAGCCCACGGCUCAACCGUGGAGGGUCAUUGGAAACUGGGAGACUUGAGUGCAGAAGAGGAAAGUGGAAUUCCAUGUGUAGCGGUGAAAUGCGUAGAGAUAUGGAGGAACACCAGUGGCGAAGGCGACUUUCUGGUCUGUAACUGACACUGAGGCGCGAAAGCGUGGGGAGC
rnacentral:rRNA from 1 species